AAUCCAUGGUGGAGGCAUAGUCUCAGCAUUCCUUUAAAUCUAUCUCAGGCUUUAUUUAAAGAUUCUCCAUCAUUUUGUCUGAAUCUUGUAAUAAGAUUUCUAUAUGAGUGU